UAAUACGAAGGUGGCGAGCGUUGUUCGGAAUCACUGGGCUUAAAGAGCACGUAGGCGGUUGGCCAAGCAUUUUGUGAAAUCCCUCGGCUCAACCGAGGAAUUGCGAGGUGAACUGGUCGGCUUGAGCUGCACAGGGGCGACUGGAACUCUAGGUGGAGCGGUGAAAUGCGUAGAUAUCUAGAGGAACGCCGGUGGUGAAAACGGGUCGCUGGGUGCAUGCUGACGCUGAGGUGCGAAAGCGUGGGGAGCGAACGGGAUUAGAUACCCCGGUAGUCCACGCCGUAAACGAUGGGCACUAGGUUCGGGUGGGUUUGACCCCAUCUGGGCCGAAGCAAAAGUGCUAAGUGCCCCGCCUGGGGAGUACGGUCGCAAGGCUA
rnacentral:rRNA from 1 species